rnacentral:rRNA from 1 species
UACGUAGGGGGCAAGCGUUAUCCGGAAUUACUGGGUGUAAAGGGAGCGUAGACGGUAAUGUAAGUCUGGAGUGAAAGGCGGGGGCCCAACACCCGGACUGCUCUGGAAACUAUGUUACUAGAGUGCAGGAGAGGUAAGCGGAAUUCCUAGUGUAGCGGUGAAAUGCGUAGAUAUUAGGAGGAACACCAGUGGCGAAGGCGGCUUACUGGACUGUAACUGACGUUGAGGCUCGAAAGCGUGGGGAGCAAACAGG